rnacentral:rRNA from 1 species
AUUGAACGCUGGCGGCAGGCCUAACACAUGCAAGUCGAGCGGAUGAAGGGAGCUUGCUCCUGGAUUCAGCGGCGGACGGGUGUGUAAUGCCUAGGAAUCUGCCUGGUAGUGGGGGAUAACGUCCGGAAACGGGCGCUAAUACCGCAUACGUCCUGCGGGAGAAAGUGGGGGAUCUUCGGACCUCACGCUAUCAGAUGAGCCUAGGUCGGAUUAGCUAGUUGGUGGGGUAAAGGCCUACCAAGGCGACGAUCCGUAACUGGUCUGAGAGGAUGAUCAGUCACACUGGAACUGGGACACGGUCCACAGUCCUACGAGAGGCAGCAGUGGGGAAUAUUGGACAGUGGGCGAAAGCCUGAUCCAGCCAUGCCGCGUGUGUGAAGAAGGUCUUCGGAUUGGAAAGCACUUUAAGUUGGGAGGAAGGGCAGUAAGUUAAUACCUUGCUGUUUUGACGUUACCAACAAAAUAAGCACCGGCUAACUUCGUG